UGGGGAAUAUUGGACAAUGGGCGAAAGCCUGAUCCAGCCAUGCCGCGUGUGUGAAGAAGGUCUUCGGAUUGUAAAGCACUUUAAGUUGGGAGGAAGGGCAGUAAGCGAAUACCUUGCUGUUUUGACGUUACCGACAGAAUAAGCACCGGCUAACUCUGUGCCAGCAGCCGCGGUAAUACAGAGGGUGCAAGCGUUAAUCGGAAUUACUGGGCGUAAAGCGCGCGUAGGUGGUUCGUUAAGUUGAAUGUGAAAGCCCCGGGCUCAACCUGGGAACUGCAUCCAAUACUGGCGAGCUAGAGUAGGGCAGAGGGUGGUGGAAUUUCCUGUGUAGCGGUGAAAGGCGUAGAUAUAGGAAGGAACACCAGUGGCGAGGGCGACCACCUGGGCUCAUACUGACACUGAGGUGCGAAAGCGUGGGGAGCAAACAGG
rnacentral:rRNA from 1 species